CUGAAACCAACGGAAAAUAAUUUUGUUAGCUGCACCAAGCGUUUCAAUAGUGAAAAAAUUAAAAAUAUAAGCUAAACAAAAAGGAAUUUUUACCACUUCAUCGAUUGCGUACAAAUCGUCUGAUUAGUUGAAAAUGGUUUCGAAUCGAUUUUCAAUAAUAUAGCGUCGAAUUUCUACCAUUAUUGGACGGCGUUUCAUAAUUUUUACCCGAUCAAUGCUGAGUCUCAAACCCGGUUAGAGAAUGACAGAUUUCAAUCCAGGACUCGAUUGUGAAAGCUUAAGCAAAUAGUAUCGUAAUCGAUUGGACUGACAUCCUGUGCUAGCUGCUGGAAGUGGAAAAUCGGAAAUAGUGUUGCUGGGGAGGAAAAAUUCGGUGCCAAUACUGGACCAGUGGUGAAUUCAGAUUUUUACGCUGGGGCAGUAGGGAUACAAUUUUGUCUCGAAAAGGACAUGGUAUUUGAUUGGGCCUGGGCCAAUCAACAGGAGCUUAAUUUUGUACCUUGAAUGCCAAUCUAGGCUAAGCAUUCAACCAUGAAAUCCCCCAAGGAAUGGUUCACGGAAAUACAAAUGAACGAAAGGGUUCCGAUCCGGCUGUCCGACAUUGACAAUCUGCUUCAGGAAAGCAUUUUCGAAUCGAGCAAUGGAGCCAAACUGGUGGAGUAUAUCAAAAAC